GACGAAGGGGGCUAGCGUUGUUCGGAAUUACUGGGCGUAAAGCGCGUGUAGGCGGUUGUUCAAGUCAGGUGUGAAAUCCUGGAGCUCAACUCCAGAACUGCCUUUGAUACUGAGAAGCUUGAGUCCGGGAGAGGUGAGUGGAACUGCGAGUGUAGAGGUGAAAUUCGUAGAUAUUGGGAAGAACACCGGUGGCGAAGGCGGCGACCUGGUCCGAUACUGACGCUGAGGCGCGAAAGCGUGGGGAGCAAACAGG
rnacentral:rRNA from 1 species